GACGAACGCUGGCGGCGUGCUUAACACAUGCAAGUCGAACGGAAAGGCCUCUUUCGGGGGGUACUCGAGUGGCGAACGGGUGAGUAACACGUGAGUAACCUGCCCUUGACUUUGGGAUAACUUCAGGAAACUGGGGCUAAUACCGGAUAGGAGCUCCUGCUGCAUGGUGGGGGUUGGAAAGUUUCGGCGGUUGGGGAUGGACUCGCGGCUUAUCAGCUUGUUGGUGGGGUAGUGGCUUACCAAGGCUUUGACGGCUAGCCGGCCUGAGAGGGUGACCGGCCACAUUGGGACUGAGAUACGGCCCAGACUCCUACGGGAGGCAGCAGUGGGGAAUAUUGCACAAUGGGUGGAAGCCUGAUGCAGCAACGCCGUGUGCGGGAUGACGGCCUUCGGGUUGUAAACCGCUUUCGCUCAUGACGAAGCUUUGUGUGACGGUAGUGGGUAAAGAAGCACCGGCUAACUACGUG
rnacentral:rRNA from 1 species